rnacentral:lncRNA from 1 species
UAAAAUAGUAAUAUGAGAAAUUGGUCUUCUGUCUAAAAUGUUAUAUUUAUCCAAAAAUAAGAAAACUCUGAGUGUUGUAUCACUUUCUCCCGACCGAAUUAAACGCCCUAAAAAAACAAAAUAUAGAGUAUUCAAAUAUGUGCCCUAAAAACAAUUGGCUUGAUACUAAAAAUUAUUACAAAAAGGCUCAAAUCAUGUAAUCUGCAAUUUAGACCCAGUAAAAUUCGAAAUUAGGCUUUGUGCCAACAUAAAAAUUGUAACUCUGAUUUUUAGCUUUCCAACGCCUUCUUCCAUGCGUCAAUAUGGUACUCAGAGCUCAAGUUAUGGCUUGCACAGCGAUCAAGGAUCAAUAUGAAAAUAAUAACAUUAAAACUCACUUACGAUCCAAAGUUUAGAAACAUGCUAAAAAACUAAUCUAAGUUAUAAAGAGCUUUUAAAAUAUCACAAUACAAAGCUAGAAACAUGUGCCAAAAUGCAUUCAUCAAAUUCCCCUACAUUUAAGCUUUUGCACUCCGAGCAAAGAAAUGCAUGCAAUUCCAAAGAUUAUCAGGAAAUGCAAAGUGGUGAACACAAUUUUAAUCUCAAGUUUCAAAGAAUAUGACAAUCAUGAAUAGCUUUUCAUCACAAUCAAAGUAAACAAGAGGACAAAUUAACUAAAAAAUUCAUCAUAAAUGAUAAAGUCUUCAUAAGAUAUAGAAUUCUUGCAACCGAAGUGUUUAAACUACUAUUUACACUCAAAGCACAUCAUGAAGCUAGCACUACCAUAGGUUGGACAAGUCUUUAACAUCUAUACUUAGAACACAUGCACAUAAUGAUUAAAAGAUCUUUAUUAAGGUUGUAACGGGGCCAAGGUAAGGGUGACAUAAUCCUAAGGAGACUAGGGCUAAAAAUCAAAGAGGAUAAAUGAGUAAUGAUCGGGAGAAAAAAGUGACAUUGAAAGGCAACUCAACCAAAAUACCAAUGAUUUUUAUUCUCACACUCUCUUUGUUCAUAACUAUUUUCCUCAUUUAUUCAUCUUUGUUUUGUUGUUUUGUUGUUUUUUUUAUUUUUUUAUUUUUUAAGUUUUAAUUUUUUUUGUUUGUUUUACUACUACUCAAAUUUAACCGAACAAGUUGAGUUGAGCACCCACACACUUAUUUAAAGAAGAACUCCUUUAUCUCCAAAGAUUGAGUCAAUUAAUUGUUUUCACUUCUUGUAAUGAGCUAUAUAAUAAAGAAUAUAAUAAAUAGGCUCAAAAGGGCUUAAACAACAGAUAAUUACAGGGUAUGCUUA